rnacentral:tRNA from 1 species
ACCGCCGUGGUCGAGGCGACCGUGGCCUCCAGCGCGCUGGCAGGCUGGGCGAUCGUCACGCUCACGGUGGUGC